UGUUGUGUGUGAUGAGAAAUGUAAAUUAUCACACAGUUAUCCCUGUCUGAUACAUUUUUGUGCUGAUUACAUGUUAUCUGACACAAAC